ACUCUUCGGAGUGAGAGCGUACACAGGUGCUGCAUGGCUGUCGCCAGCUCGGGUCGUGAGAUGUUGGGUUAAGUCCGCAACGAGCGCAACCCUGCAUUCAGUUGCCAUCGGUAAGGCCGGGCACUCUGGAUGGACUGCCGGCGACAAGCCGGAGGAAGGUGGGGACGACGUCAAGUCAUCAUGGCCCUUAUGUCCAGGGCGACACACGUGCUACAAUGGCCGGCACAACGGGAAGCGAAGGGGCGACCCUGAGCGGAUCCCACAAAAGCCGGUCUCAGUUCGGAUUGCAGUCUGCAACUCGACUGCAUGAAGUUGGAAUCGCUAGUAAUCGUGGAUCAGCCAAGCCGCGGUGAAUACGUUCCCGGGCCUU
rnacentral:rRNA from 1 species